rnacentral:rRNA from 1 species
UACGUAGGGUGCGAGCGUUAAUCGGAAUUACUGGGCGUAAAGAGCUCGUAGGUGGUUUGUCGCGUUGUUCGUGAAAACUCACAGCUCAACUGUGGGCGUGCGGGCGAUACGGGCAGACUGGAGUACUGCAGGGGAGACUGGAAUUCCUGGUGUAGCGGUGGAAUGCGUAGAGAUCCGGAGGAACACCAGCGGCGAAGGCGGCAUCCUGGACUGGUCCUGACACUCAUGAGCGAAAGCGUGGGGAGCGAUCCGG